GAUGAACGCUGGCGGCGUGCCUAAUACAUGCAAGUCGAGCGAACAGACGAGGAGCUUGCUCCUCUGACGUUAGCGGCGGACGGGUGAGUAACACGUAGAUAACCUACCUAUAAGACUGGGAUAACUUCGGGAAACCGGAGCUAAUACCGGAUAAUAUAUUGAACCGCAUGGUUCAAUAGUGAAAGACGGUUUUGCUGUCACUUAUAGAUGGAUCCGCGCCGCAUUAGCUAGUUGGUAAGGUAACGGCUUACCAAGGCGACGAUGCGUAGCCGACCUGAGGGGGGGACCGGCCACACGGAAAGGGAACACGGGCCCAACAUCCACGGGGGGGCAGAAGGGGGAAAUUUUCCGAAAGGGGGGAAACCCUGACGGGGCAAACCCGGUGGGGUGAUAAAGGUUUUCGGAUCGAAAACCUUUUUUAUUGGGAAAAAAAAAAUUUGUAAAUAACCAUGCACGUUUUGCCGGACCCUAAUAAGAAAACCCGGGUUAACUCGGG
rnacentral:rRNA from 1 species